AUGUGCAGUAUCCAUAAAAUUGAACAGGUGUUAAACAGAACAUUAUUUUUAAAAUAUCCAUCCUACACAUUAGAAAGAAUAAGUGUAGUUCAUUGUAUGCUGAGUAAAGAAAUAGAGAAGCAAAGAGGUUUUGUUUAUCCCCAGGAAAGAAAGAUGGAAAAUGUUCCUAUAGAUGCAUCAACAAUUGCCCCCAUCUAGUGUGCACCUCAUCACCUUAACUCUCAAAGAUGACCUUGUCUCCUACUUCCUAUGUAUUAAAAAUUUAAUAAUCUUUAAAAUUAAUCUAUUCAUGAGAGACACAAAGGCAAAAACAUAGGCAGAGGGAGAAGCAGGCUCCCUGGGGGGAGCAUGAUGCGGGACUCGGUCCCAGGACCCUGGGAUCAUGACCUGAGCCGAAGACACACUCAGCCACUGAGCCACCCAGGCAUCCCCCAAGGAAUGAUUUUUUUUUAAAGAUUUUAUUUAUUUAUUCAUGAGAGGCACAGAGAGAGAGAGUGAGAGGCAGAGACACAGGCAGAGGGAGAAGCAGGUUCCAUGCAGGGAGCUUGACGUGGGACUCGAUCCUGGGUCUCCAGGAUCACACCCCAAGGAAUGAUCUUAUAUCAAAUCUUCCCAGUCUUCACCCUAAUCCAUUUGGAAUCAAAACACUCUCGGUGCUUUCCUCCCAAAUCUUCUCUACUCUUGGUUUGCAUGGAAUGAAUCCCCUCCUGUUCCUUUUACCUUUGACUACUUUCUCUUGCCAUUUGAGCCCGGAAUGUUGAUUUACCUCAGAUUUGCAUCCUGAAACUUCUUAUUUCUUACUUUUUGUGCGUUUAUACCCAGACUUAUGCAUGUAAACAUGACACAGGUUGCUAAAGUAAAAUUCUUCCGGUCUCAGUUUUUUACUGAGAUUACAGAUUUCAAGAGCAAACCAAGAGCUGCCAAGUACUGAAAUAGCUCCAAUUGAAGUGCUAGACUACCUAUUCUGGAUAUAUUAAAGAACGUGAAUUUUUUUUCCCUGUUCUUAGUGAUCACAUUUUUCCAGUGUCCAAGACAGUAAAGUUUGAGAUGUUGGAGAAUUUUCUUGAAGAUGGUUGAGGAAUCACCAUUGUGGUGUUAUGAGAUGGCUCUUUCUCUUCUUUUUACCUCAAACCCAAUGAGGUGUUUUUCCAUGUGCCCAGUAGACUGGGCAAUACAUUUAAGAACAUUAGAUACAAUAUUUCUUAAAGUAAUAUAGUAUCAAAAGUAAGAAAGUAUUAUAAAGGAAGGUAGUUGCUAUGUCUGGGAAUACCUGAAAUGUUUUUACUGUGUCAUAAGUACCCUUUUUGUUUAUAGGUCACUACAGAGGCUAAAAUAACUUGCCCCUCCCUCCUUUUUUUGGAGCAAGGUGUUUUUUUCUGGUGGUAUAUGAAAUGGUUGGUAUAAUUCAUUGAUUGGUAUAUAAAUGAACAGAUGUACGAUUUUCAGUAAUUCAUUGUUUCAGAUGUGCUAUUGAUUUUUUGUUUAGUUUCACAUGAUAGUGAAGUGAUUGAUUUUGUAUUUUCCUAUUUGUUGUUUCCUUUGAGUGAAGAUCUGUA
rnacentral:lncRNA from 1 species